ensembl:snoRNA
CUGCAGUGACGACACAUGUGCUGACUGAUCUGGUAUUGCCUCCCUCUGGGGAGAGCUCUGACCAGGGAAUGAUCUCACUCAGUCAAUCUUCUCUCUGAGCAG